rnacentral:lncRNA from 1 species
CCACGAGAGCCGCAGCCAACGACGAGACGAACUCCGACACGGGGCCAUAGCUCAGCGGAGCGAAGUGCUCGGGAUCCUCGUUGGAGGGUGUCGGGGACGGGAGACACUGUCCGAAGCCGUGGCGCAGGUAUGUAGUAGUUGCUGAAUUCGUGCUCGGGGUCGUCGACGAGCCAAUCGGCGCUUGGUCCGCCCAGCAGCCACGCCAUGGGCAGAACGGCGAACGCCGACGGUGGAGGCAGCAGUUCGUCGGGGUCCGUGGUGACGUUGGAGGCAGAGGCCUCUUCGUAUUCGUCCUCGACGACGAACAUCCCCUGCAUGGCAACAACUUCUUCGGCUGCGAUCUCCGACACGGCAGCGAC